CCUACGGGUGGCAGCAGUGAGGAAUAUUGGUCAAUGGGCGGAAGCCUGAACCAGCCAAGUAGCGUGCAGGAUGACGGCCCUACGGGUUGUAAACUGCUUUUAUACGGGAAUAACGCGCCUUACGUGUAGGGCUUUGCAUGUACCGUAUGAAUAAGGACCGGCUAAUUCCGUGCCAGCAGCCGCGGUAAUACGGAGGGUCCGUGCGUUAUCCGGAUUUAUUGGGUUUAAAGGGAGCGUAGGCCGCAUGUCAAGUGUGCUGUGAAAGGUCGGGGCUCAACCGGAGCCUUGCAGCGCGAACUGGCGGGCUUGAGUCCGCGGGAGGCAGGCGGAAUUCGUCGUGUAGCGGUGAAAUGCUUAGAUAUGACGAAGAACCCCGAUUGCGAAGGCAGCUUGCUGCAGCGGAACUGACGCUGAUGCUCGAAAGCGCGGGUAUCGAACAGGAUUAGAUACCCCAGUAGUC
rnacentral:rRNA from 1 species